GAUGAACGCUAGCGGCAGGCCUAAUACAUGCAAGUCGAACGGAUAUAUGUUUUUCGGAAUAUAUAUUAGUGGCGCACGGGUGAGUAACACGUACAUAACUUGCCCUCAAGCGGGGGAUAGCCUUGGGAAACUGAGAGUAAUACCCCAUAGAAUUAUUGGACGGCAUCGUUUGAUAAUUAAAACUACGGUGCUUGGGGAUAGAUGUGCGUCUGAUUAGCUAGUUGGUGAGGUAACUGCUCACCAAGGCGACGAUCAGUAGGGGGCGUGAGAGCGUCGGCCCCCCACACGGGUACUGAGACACGGACCCGACUCCUACGGGAGGCAGCAGUAAGGAAUAUUGGUCAAUGGAGGGAACUCUGAACCAGCCAUGCCGCGUGAAGGAUGACGGCCCUCUGGGUUGUAAACUUCUUUUGGAUGGGGACGAAAAAACGGGAUUUAUCCUGGACUGACGGUACCAUCAGAAUAAGCACCGGCUAACUCCGUGCCAGCAGCCGCGGUAAAGU
rnacentral:rRNA from 1 species